CGAAUAUAAAUACUUCAGAUCUCCUUUAAACAAAUUGUCAUUCUUUCCGGGCCGUGUCUCUCUCUUUCUCUCUCCUCUUUCAGACUCUUUCAGAGAGGCGUGAUGGACUUCUCGUUAAGGGAACCGACGAGGAUAAGCGGCCGGGAGAAGCGGCUGCGGACGGUAAUAUUGCCGGCAAUCCGAGGGCAAAACUGUCCAAUAUGCUUGGUUGCCGUGGAAGCUCGCAGCGCAGCGGUGCUCUCGUCCUGUAACCACGCAUACUGCGUCCGUUGCAUCCGGAAGUGGAGCAAUUUGAGACGAAAAUGCCCUCUCUGCAACGCCGACUUCGACUCCUGGUUCUCGCAAAUCAGCCUCUCUUCCCGAAGCUUCCACAAAGAACAUUUACCUCCUUUGUAUCGCACUUCUAGUGCUAGAAGCUUCGGCCUUCAACACGAAGAGCAUCCUCCAAGGCAUGUGAGUAGUAGUGAACGGCGGCGAUCAAGGCCGAUGCCGUGGCGGCGAUCGUUUGGACGGCCAGGAUCGGUCGGUCCUGAUACGGUUGCGGAGAGAAAGCUCCAAUGGCGAGCUAGCAGUGUAUAUGACAGACGAUUGCAAGCUGUGCCUUCGGCUUCAAGAAAUCGUCUUCAAGUGAGUGUACCCAUAAACGAUGGUGUGAAAGAGAGAAUCUUGCAAAGAAUAGAGCCAUGGAUUCGGAGGGAGUUGCAGGCUCUUCUUGGAGACGGAGAUCCAUCUAUUAUUGUUCAUGUGGCCACCUCACUCUUCAUUGCAAGCCUUGAAAAUAAGGAUCAGGUCCUUCCAGGACAGUGUGAUGUCCGAGGUGACCCCCUUGCGUCGUUGCGCCCUUUUCUAGUUGAUCGAACUGACGUGUUUUGGCACGAGUUAAGAUGUUUUGCAGAGAGUCCAUUCAACAUGGAAACCUAUGACGCAGUGGUCGAGUAUAAAAGCUUGCGUUGAAUUUUGGCGAGAAACUUGAUACUAAUUUCUGAUCUUGCCUAUACAUUGGAACACCUGUGUGAAUAUCGGGGAACUCCUCAACAGGGAAGUUAAAGUGGCCAACUGCUUGCUCAGCUAAGUCAUGUGAUGCAUCCGCUGGGUCGUUAGAGAAUGUAAAGAGCAAUGGUUUACGAGGGGUUUAAUGUUUAACUGCAACAAAAUUUGAAGUUUCUUUUAUGCCACAAGCUAGUGUAAGGAUUCAAGAAGCGGGCCUGAUUUACUUAUGAGCUCACAAUCUCAUGCAAGCUGCUGGAGUUGCUUAGUGGAGCCUUGUUGGCACAAUGAUUAGCUUCUGCUUUCUUUAUACAAGCAACAAGGUUACGUAAAAGGAAAGGGAUUUGAGUUACAUGGUCCUUGUCGUCAUGAGAUUCGUGAGAUGUUUGUGUCUAUGGGAUAGUGUGAAGAGGACAGAUAGUCGGCAUUGGGAUAUCCUGCUAAUGACUGAAGCUUGAGAGCAAAUUAUAAGGCCCUGAUCUGCAGUUGUGAAAGAACGCAACAAAUAUCCUAUGUGAAUGGCACCGGUGUUUCUUAUUUUCUCAAAUAACCAACUGACAAUCAUGGGUUCCACAAUACUGAUCAUCAAGCGCAACACACGAAUCUGGCUAUCAUCAGUACUAGGUUGGAUGCUCCUGGGUCUUUCUCCUGCAACCCCUUGUGUCCUCAGCAAGUUAAAAAUCUUCAAAUGACAGAGUCUGCCCUAUCAAGCAAACGCCAUGGCAAGCAACGAAACGGAUGUCCCAGAUUUCGUCCUUUACAUCCUCUAUACAACUCAUGGUUCUGGAGGAAGUUUGUAUCAGGUAACAUGCCGGCUUUCGGAUGAUCCUCUUCUUUACUUCCAUAUUUGGCUCUGCUGGGUUGCACAGAUCAUGGUGAAAAGUUGCAUCAGCAGCCAAGCAAAGCACAGAAGAAAGCCAAACUUUUCUAAGCCCCGCUCCCACAUAUUAGAACGUAUGCACCCUCAGUUUUUGCAACUUAAUUGCAACUCGCUGCUUCAAGUUUGAUCCAGGACAUUGUCAAUUCUGCAGUUGAAGGCACUCUCUUUAAGCAUUUUUUGUCAGCUCUACUUUCCUCCAUUGCUUCAAUGCUUCAAUCUCCUCCUCCGUCCUGAUGGUACCAGCCUUUGAUGCGAUGAACAACGCACUUUUCGAGUGCAACAGCACUCUAUGACGUACGCUAGUUCAGAAUCACCCAGGCCGCUACUAUACCCUUAACCCUAAGAUAUUGCUCAAGUACUGCAAGCAGGAAAAUACUAGAGAGGCUUUUCUGUAGGAAGUUUGUAUCAGGUAACAUCCUGACUUUCGGAUGCUCCUCUUCUUUACUUCCAUAUUUGGCUCUGCUUGGUUACACAGAUCAUGGCAAAAGGCAAUACUUACAUUUUGCACCAGCAGCCAAGCAAAGCACAGAACAAACUUUUGACAACAGAAGUUCUACCACCAAAUAAAGUUUUCGUUUUCUUUUGGGUUUCUGAUAAGUGUCCCCCACAAACAAGUCAAAAACAGAAGAAU